rnacentral:lncRNA from 1 species
AUUUAACCUUUUAUCUGUAGCUGUUUGCUAAGGAACAAAAGGCAAGGCAGCUUCUUGCAUGACACCGUUUUCAGCUUAAUUUUUUCUUUUGGCAUAGUGAAUUGGAGUCCUGAGUUUUUAUUUUCCUCUCACAGACAUCAGGAUUAGGUUAAAACUUUCAAUGAAAGACAUGAAGAUGAAAUAGCCAUGAGGUCUCCGUUUCAAAUUGCAGAGGAGAAAAUCUGGUUGACCCUCCUGUACCUCUUCCCUUAUGUUUGAAUUUGGAGAAAAAUCGCAAGAAUCUCUCCGGGGAGGGAGAUUACAGAUAUGAAGACUGGAGUGAGCCCUCAUCAGCCAGAUGGACUGUUUCAUCUCUUCCGAAAUAGAAACCUCCAACCUACUCAGCCCUUUUGAGGCCAAAAAGAUACCCAUGGGCCCUCAAAAACCAACAGUCUCUACACCAGACUAAAACAAGUUUCCUAAAAGCAUUUUCCUUUUGGGCUCAUUUUUAUUACCUCUCCAUCCCAUGGUCCGAAGAUAAGAAUAAUUUGCAUAUAACAGUCAGUAUUAAAAUUUUUGAUUUGCAAUGGAUCAAUGAAUGACGAGGUCAGCCCAUCUGUGACUGAACCAAUCAAUGAAUGAGAAAUGGAAACUGUUGGGGGGAAUGCACUUCUACUUAGAGGCAGAUAUGGCGAAGCAAACCAAAGAUCUUGUGUCUCUCUCUGAUGGAGAUAUUUAAUUGCUGGCAUCAUGCUUCCCAGUCUGUUCUUCCUGUCUGAGCAAAUUUGGAAGCCCAAGCUACCAUGGAGCUAUCAUAUGGACCUCCCAGACUGUGUGAGCAAGAAAUAAACCUUGGUUGAGAUAAGCCGUUCAGACCAUUGCAAAUCAGAAAACAGACUUUGAGGAUUAAAAAUAUAAUAAGUGAAAUAGAUGCCUCCAGACAUCGCAUUACAAAGUCUUCUUAUUUCUUGCAGCAGGAAAUGUCAAGACACAGACAAGCAACUACUCAAAGGCCACAUGGCUGGUAAAUGGCAACAUCAGACCACACACCCAGUAGUUUGGCUUAAGAGCAUGCCGAUAACAUCACGCUGUAAUAUCUUUCCAACAACCCAUUUGCGAUAUUUAUCAUGAGCGGUAGGGGAUGAAGAGGUAUGUGCUUGAAAGGCAAUCAGGAUCUACUUUGGAGGAAACUCAAACUAAGACAAGUUGCUGCUGGUGCUGGGGCCCGAGGAGGUCCGCGCCGGAGGAGGGCCACAGGGACUGAGCGAGUGACAGACGCACCACCCGUCAAUGCUGCAACCCUGUAAGGCCUCCAUGGACUCUCUACGUGAGUGUAGAAUGAAUCAAGCCGACUCAAACACAGCAGCUAUUCCACAUGCAGUGGAAGAUAUUCAAGGAGACGACAGAUGGAUAUCUCAGCACAACAGAUUUGUCCUGGAUGACUUUGAGCUUCUUGAACAUAGAGACUGGGUUACAUUCAUCAUUGUAAAUCUGGGGUCCACCUCAAUGACGAGCACAUGAGAGGCAUUGGAUAAAUACUUCCUGAAGCAUCACUUUAGAGAGAAUAACUCACAAGCCCUGAAGUCCUGCAUUUGGUUUGGCUCAUUGAAAAACUACUCAGAGGAAUUUGACAACGACAUUAGGUGUCUCCAUCACAGCUUUAUGGAACAGUUAAUGUGAGCUCGCUUUCAAGUCAGAAUCUAAAAGUCCAGGUGCAUCUUAACUCUGAACCUUUGAAGUUUACUCAUCCUCAUUUAAUGUGAUAAUGUAAUCUAUAUGUUCAGAAUCCAUUUGAGGGGCAGUACAGGGAAAAUGGCAUGCAGAAGGAAAGAUGAACUGCUCUCAGGGGUGAAAUCUAUCUCACACGUGCAUUUAUCUUGGGCAGACACUGUUGUUUAAACUAAAGAUAAUCACAGGCAGUUCUGUGACAUUAACCUGCUUAGUUACUCCUGAAUAAAACCAGGAAUGAAAAUGAGGGCAAAGGUGAGCAGUGACUAUGAGGAUUAUUUUAUUUCUGUGCUAACACUGUCUCAUCCUGCCUUUAGGAAAAUGGUACCUGUGUGUUAGAAGCUCACAUUGAUUUCUCAAGUUAUAAUUAAUAUACUUGGGCUGUUGUUACAUAUGAAAGAUUAGAAGGCUGAAUACUCUAUUUACUCUAACAAUGCAGUCAGAUUACCACUUUAAUGCUCAGAAAAGGCUCUGCCAUUACCAUAAGCUCCAUGGCAUUAUUCAGAAGGCACCGCUUACUCAUUUUAUUUUCCUUGUCCUUCACCAUAUUCUAAAUAGGUAAAAAGGUAAACAUAUUAAUAGGCUUAGUAUAUCCCCCUCCACCCAGAAAGAAUGUGAAGAAUAACAUCUAUCCUGAAAAAAAGACAAAAGAGAAGAAAGCUCAUUCAGAAAAAUAAAGGGGAGAGGAGUAAGCGUGGAGGGUUGAUGGUAGGGGGAAAAGGGAAGCUGAAAAAUAGAAUUUACAUAAUGAGCAAAGGAAAAAGGUUAAAGCCUUUUUAAAAUUCGUAUGCUGCCUCUUCUUAAGAAUGCCUCAAGGAUUAGAAUAGACAUUAGUCAUAUUCAUACCAAAUAUGAGAAACGCAGCCUUAGGAUAGCCCUUUUUAAAAAAUUCUUCAAGAAACAAGCAAUUAUUUCUUAUCUAUGGGGGAAAUCAUUGGAAUUGUGGUGGGGGGCGCAGCACACAGUUGAAAAAAACAAAAAACAGAGAAAACCCGAAAGACCCUGAGGAAGUAAUGCCUUCCACUUCAAACAUUGAGAAUGGCUGUUUGUUAUCAUGAAGCAACCCUGUCAGGUAGCCUUCAAAUCUUUUGAAUUCUUUCUUACCUCAUCUCUCACUUCAAAUAAGAAGCAGCUGCCUAUCAUAAAACGAGUUAUCAAAAACUAAACCAAAUGGAAGUUGUUUGCACAACAGUCAAUCUGGGCUAACUGCAACAAACAAAAUGAAGCUAAGAAAUCUCAAAUGCUGCCGUUAUAUUUGGUGAAGAGCUCAAGUAUUUCCCUACACUCUCACAGUGGUGUAUAUGUUACCACUGUGGUUUUAAUAUUGGCUCUGGGACAUGUUUCUUAGCUUCUCUGAUGGACACAAAUGCCCCUUUUGUGUUCUCAUGGUAGCGUGUACCUCUCCUUUGUAACUCUAACUACCCUUGAAAUUCUACAUUUACUCAAAUGAUUGAUUAUUUUAGUAAAUUUUGUCUUCUCUACUCAUCUGGUUCCCUGAGGACAGGGGAUAUGCCAUUUCCUGGUUCACCAUUGUGUCGCUGUCUCUUGGCAGAGGUCCUGGUACCUGCAGACAUGCAAAUGAUAUGUGUUAGGUGAACAGAUGACUGAAGUAGGUGAACCUGUUAAUUAGUUCAAAUUAAAGUCUCAGAAAAUAACUACCUCUAUUUUCUUCUUCAACUGUCUUUCUCCUGUUGCCUACCCCUUAUUCUCUAAGCACUUUACCUAGGAAUUCUGUCUUCAGUAACUUUUUCUUACAUAUGUAAAUUUCAUGUUUUAGAACGGUGUUAGAUUUACAGAAAAAUUGCAAAUAUAAUGGAAUUCCCAUAUAUCCUGAUUUCAAUUUUCCCUAUUAUUAACAUUUUACAUUAGCAUUUGUCACAAUUAAUGAAACAAUAUUUAUACCUUCUUCUUAUUAAAGUCCAUUACUUUAUUCAGAUUUCCUUAGUCUUUACCUAAUGUCAUUCUUCUGACCCCAUCCAAGAUACCAUAUCACAUUUAAACAUCAUACUUCCUUAAGUUCUUCUUGACUGUGACAAUUUCUCAGGCUUUGUUUUUGAUGACCGUGACAGUUUUGAGGAGUACUGGUGGGAUAUUCCACAGAAAGUCUCUUUUGGGAUUUGUCCAAAAUUCUUCUCAUGAUUAGAUUGGGGUUAUGGGUUUAGGGGAGGAAAACUACAGAGGAAAAAUGCUAUUUUUCAGUACAUCAUAUCAUGGAUAGGUACUAUCA